rnacentral:rRNA from 1 species
AUACGGAGGGUGCAAGCGUUGUUCGGAAUUAUUGGGCGUAAAGAGCAUGUAGGCGGUCUGUUAAGUCUGGUGUGAAAGCCCGGGGCUCAACCCCGGAAGUGCAUUGGAUACUGGCAGACUUGAGUAUGGGAGAGGAAAGUGGAAUUCCGAGUGUAGGAGUGAAAUCCGUAGAUAUUUGGAGGAACACCAGUGGCGUAGGCGGCUUUCUGGACCAAUACUGACGCUGAGAUGCGAAAGCGUGGGGAGCGAACAGGAUUAGAAACCCCAGUAGUCC